UACGAAGGGGACUAGCGUUGUUCGGAAUCACUGGGCGUAAAGCGCACGUAGGCAGAUGUGUCAGUCAGGGGUGAAAUCCCGGGGCUCAACCUCGGAACUGCCUUUGAUACAGCACGUCUCGAGUCCGGAAGAGGUGGGUGGAAUUCCUAGUGUAGAGGUGAAAUUCGUAGAUAUUAGGAAGAACACCGGUGGCGAAGGCGGCCCACUGGUCCGGUACUGACGCUGAGGUGCGAAAGCGUGGGGAGCAAACAGG
rnacentral:rRNA from 1 species